rnacentral:rRNA from 1 species
CCUACGGGAGGCGUAGUAGUGAGGAAUAUUGGGCAAUGGGAGGAAGAAGGAACAAGCCAUGACGAGGGGAGGACGAAGGCUCUACGAGGUGGAAACUGAUUGUGUAUCGGGGGAAAAUGCUCUACGAGUAGGGUUUUGAAAGUACGGUACGAAGAAGGAUCGGCUACCUCCGUGCCAGCAGCCGCGGUAAUACGGAGGAUCCGAGCGUUAUCCGGAUUCAUUGGGUUUAAAGGGUGCGUAGGUUGUUUUCUAAGUUAGCGGUGAAAUCCCGAUGCUCAACCUCGGGGCUGCCGCUGAUACUGUAGGACUAGAGCUCGGAUGCAGCAGGCGGAAUGUGUAGUGUAGCGGUGAAAUGCAUAGAUAUUACGCAGAACACCGAUUGCGAAGGCAGCUUGCUAGGCCGGAUCUGACACUGAUGCACGAAAGCGUGGGGAUCGAACAGGAUUAGAUACCCUUGUAGUC